GAUAAACGCUGGCGGCGUGCCUAACACAUGCAAGUCGAACGAAGCUCUCUGAAUUGAGUUUUCGGACAAGAGGAAGAGAUGACUUAGUGGCGGACGGGUGAGUAAUGCGUGAGCAACCUGCCUUUCAGAGGGGGACAACAGUUGGAAACGACUGCUAAUACCGCAUAAUGUAUUUUGAUGGCAUCAUCGAAAUACCAAAGAUUAUAUCGCUGAAAGAUGGGCUCACGUCUGAUUAGCUAGUUGGUGAGGUAACGGCUCACCAAGGCUGCGAUCAGUAGCCGGACUGAGAGGUCGAACGGCCACAUUGGGACUGAGAUACGGCCCAGACUCCUACGGGAGGCAGCAGUGGGGAAUAUUGCACAAUGGGCGAAAGCCUGAUGCAGCAACGCCGCGUGAGUGAUGAAGGCCUUCGGGUUGUAAAGCUCUGUCUUUUGGGACGAUAAUGACGGUACCAAAGGAGGAAGCCACGGCUAACUACGUGCCAGCCGCCGCCGUAAAAC
rnacentral:rRNA from 1 species